UACGUAGGGUGCAAGCGUUGUCCGGAAUUAUUGGGCGUAAAGAGCUCGUAGGCGGUCUGUCGCGUCGGAUGUGAAAACCCAGGGCUCAACCCUGGGCCUGCAUUCGAUACGGGCAGACUAGAGUUCGGUAGGGGAGACUGGAAUUCCUGGUGUAGCGGUGAAAUGCGUAGAGAUCGGGAAGAACAUCGGUGGCGAAAGCGCUCUGCUGGACUGCAACUGACACUCAGGGACGAAAGCUAGGGGAGCGAAUGGG
rnacentral:rRNA from 1 species